AUGCUUCAGCAACACACACAAAGUUGGAAUGAUGCAGAGAUUAGCAUGGACCCCCAGCAAGGAUGAUACACAAAUUUGUGAAAUGUUCCAUAGUAAA
rnacentral:snRNA from 1 species